CCCCAUAAAAUGCAUGGGAACCCCACAAAAGUCACAUCCCUGUGUAGCUUGAAUCUGGGGGAACAAUAUAUUCGAAAAUCAGCCAGAUCCAUUAGGUAGUUUGUGAUCGGCACCGCAGGGAAGAUUUGACCGGUCUGCCACGAGGUCGAAGUCCAGAAAAAGUUCCAUGAAAAGUGUGGCAAGAGACGGUCUCCAUUUGUG